UACAGCCAUACCACCCUGAACACACCCGACCCCAUCUGAUCUCAGAAGCUAAGCAGGGUCGGGCCUGGUUAGUUCUUGGAUGGGUAAAGUGCAGGGGAAGAAAAAGGAGAUUCUCAAA
ensembl:rRNA 5S_rRNA 5S ribosomal RNA